GAUUAGGUAGUUGGUAGGGUAAUAGCCUACCAAGCCUUUGAUCUUUAGCUGUACUGAGAGGUUGGUCAGCCACACUGGGACUGAGACAAGGCCCAGGCUUCCUUCGAAGCCAGCAGUGAGGAAUUUUGGACAAUGAGCGAAAGCUUGAUCCAGCAAUACUCCAUGAAUGAUGACAGCUUUCAAGUUGUAAAAUUCUUUGGUUGAUGAGGAUUAUGACAGUAAUCAACUGAAUAGCCCCGGCUAACUUCGUGCCAGCAGCCGCGGUAAGACGAAGGGGGCGAGCGUUAUCCGGAAUGACUGGGCGUAAAGGGUCCGUAGGUUGUAUUUUUUGUUAAAGGUGAAAAAUUAAAGCUUAACUUUUUUUAAGCCUUUAAAACGUUUAGACUUUGAGUUUGAAAGAGGAUAGCAGAAUUUCACAUGGAGGGGUGAUAUCCUUAGAUAUGUGAAGGAAUACCAGAGGCGAAGGCGGUUAUCUAGUUCAAUACUGACACUGAGGGACGAAAGCAUGGGUAG
rnacentral:rRNA from 1 species